CGGCUAUUCGUUCAAUUGGUAGGACAAUCGUGUGAGAAGCGAAAGAUGCUGGUUCGAUCCCAGCAUAGACCGACUA
rnacentral:tRNA from 1 species